GAUGAACGCUGGCGGCGUGCUUAACACAUGCAAGUCGAACGGAAAGGCUCCUGCUUGCAGGGGUACUCGAGUGGCGAACGGGUGAGUAACACGUGGGUGAUCUGCCCUGCACUUCGGGAUAAGCCUGGGAAACUGGGUCUAAUACCGGAUAGGACCACAUUUUGGAUGGUGUGGUGGAAAGUUUUUCGGUGUGGGAUGAGCUCGCGGCCUAUCAGCUUGUUGGUGGGGUAAUGGCCUACCAAGGCGUCGACGGGUAGCCGGCCUGAGAGGGUGUACGGCCACAUGGGGACUGAGAUACGGCCCAGACUCCUACGGGGGGCAGCAGGGGGGAAUAUGGCACAAGGGGCGCAAGCCUGAUGCAGCGACGCCGGGGGGGGGAUGACGGCCUUCGGGUGGUAAACUCCUUUCGCUAGGGACGAAGCGCAAGUGACGGUACCUGGAGAAGAAGCACCGGCUAACUACGU
rnacentral:rRNA from 1 species